UGGGGAAUAUUGGACAAUGGGCGCAAGCCUGAUCCAGCCAUGCCGCGUGAGUGAUGACGGCCUUAGGGUUGUAAAGCUCUUUCGCUCGGGACGAUAAUGACGGUACCGAGAUAAGAAGCCCCGGCUAACUUCGUGCCAGCAGCCGCGGUAAUACGAAGGGGGCUAGCGUUGUUCGGAAUUACUGGGCGUAAAGCGCGUGUAGGCGGGUCUUUAAGUCAGGGGUGAAAUGCCAAGGCUCAACCUUGGAACUGCCUUUGAUACUGGAGAUCUUGAGUCCGGGAGAGGUGAGUGGAAUUGCGAGUGUAGAGGUGAAAUUCGUAGAUAUUCGCAAGAACACCAGUGGCGAAGGCGGCUCACUGGCCCGGAACUGACGCUGAGACGCGAAAGCGUGGGGAGCAAACAGGAUUAGAUACCCUGGUAGUCCACGCUGUAAACGAUGGAUGCUAGCCGUUGGGGAGCUUGCUCUUCAGUGGCGCAGCUAACGCUUUAAGCAUCCCGCCUGGGGAGUACGGUCGCAAGA
rnacentral:rRNA from 1 species